AACGAACGCUGGCGGCAUGCCUAACACAUGCAAGUCGAACGAGACCUUCGGGUCUAGUGGCGCACGGGUGCGUAACGCGUGGGAACCUGCCCUUAGGUUCGGAAUAACUCCCCGAAAGGGGUGCUAAUACCGGAUAAUGUCUUCGGACCAAAGAUUUAUCGCCUUUGGAUGGGCCCGCGUUGGAUUAGCUGGUUGGUAGGGUAAAAGCCUACCAAGGCGACGAUCCAUAGCUGGUCUGAGAGGAUGAUCAGCCACACUGGGACUGAGACACGGCCCAGACUCCUACGGGAGGCAGCAGUGGGGGAUAUUGGACUAUGGGCGGAAGCCUGAUCCAGCACUGCCGCGUGAGUGAUGAAGUCCUUAGGGUUGUGAAGCUCUUUUACCCGGGAUGAUAAUGACAGUACCGAGAGAAUAAGCACCGGCUAACUCCGUG
rnacentral:rRNA from 1 species